rnacentral:lncRNA from 1 species
CCCUAGAGAGAGUUCAUUUAUAUCUUCAGGGAGAUCCAAGCUGAAAGAGGGGCGGGUGAUGAAAAUUUGAAGGGAGACACAGCAGAGCUGACGACGAGGCCAACAACACGAGGGGAGAGCAUGGCUGGGAGGCGGCCCUGAGCCCAAGCGCGGUUCCCAUCAAGUCACAG